CGUCUUAGCAUGCAGUCGAGCGGCAAGGUGCAGCAAUGUGCCCUAGAGCGGCGGACUGGUGAGUAACGCGUGGGUGACCUGCCUUGAGGUUGGGGAUAGCCGUUAGAAAUAGCGGGUAAUACCGGAUACGGUUGCCGGACUAUGGUCUGGCAAAGAAAGGGGCUUCGGCCCCGCCUCGAGAUGGGCCCGCGUCCUAUUAGGUAGUUGGUGAGGUAAAGGCCCACCAAGCCCGAGAUAGGUAGCCGGCCUGAGAGGGUGAACGGCCACACUGGGACUGAGAUACGGCCCAGACUCCUACGGGAGGCAGCAGCUAAGAAUAUUCCGCAAUGGACGAAAGUCUGACGGAGCGACGCCGCGUGGAUGACGAAGGCCGAAAGGUUGUAAAAUCCUUUUGCCAGCGAAGAAUAAGCCUUGCAGGGAAUGGCGGGGCGAUGACGUUAGCUGGUGAAUAAGCCCCGGCUAAUUACGUGCCAGCAGCCGCGGUAACACGUAAGGGGCGAGCGUUGUUCGGAAUUAUUGGGCGUAAAGGGCGCGUAGGCGGCCGCGCAAGUCCGGCGUGAAAGGCGGGGGCUCAACCCCCGCACUGCGCUGGAAACUGCGAGGCUUGGGUCAUGGAGGGGUAGUUGGAAUUCCGCGUGUAGGGGUGAAAUCUGUAGAUAUGCGGAAGAACACCGGUGGCGAAGGCGAACUACCAGCCAAUGACUGACGCUGAGGCGCGAAAGUGCGGGGAGCAAACAGGAUUAGAUACCCUGGUAGUCCGCACUAUAAACGAUGCACACUAGUGUUGGGCCGAGCGGUUCAGUGCCGGAGCGAACGCGAUAAGUGUGCCGCCUGGGGAGUAUGUCCGCAAGGUGAAACUCAAGGAAUUGACGGGGGCCCGCACAAGCGGUGGAGCAUGUGGUUUAAUUCGAUGAUACGCGAGGAACCUUACCUGGGUUUGACAUGCAGCGGACG
rnacentral:rRNA from 1 species